CCCCGAGCUGACAAGGUAGAAAUCUGUCGUUUUGCCCCUGAACAAGGCAGUGAACCCACUGUUCCUAGGCUGUCAUUCAAAAUAAGAAUUUGUUCUUAACUGACUUACCUAGUUAAAUAAAGGUAAAAAAAAAAAAUCACGGUAAAUGCUGCAUAUGUCGGCUCAAUUGGAAAUUACCUUUAAUUGUCUAUACCGCUUCAGCGAUCCAGAUUGAAUAGAGCCCUUCCUCAGACGUAUAUGUAUACACACUCUCCUGUGUUGUAUUGUCCAGACACUGACCCACAGGGACAUGGAGUACCAUCUCUCAGAGGGCCGGGCCUUGGCCCUGAAGGACCUGACCAACGGCAGCCGUAUCCGCACCCGGCUGGGCCAAAGCCUCAUUGUCAUGCGUAUCGCUGACUUCCUCAACCCAAAGGCCCUGAGUUCCUCCCGUUAUAUCAACGACCGCUUCAUCGUCGACUCCGACAUCCUGGCAUCAUCCAUGUGCUGCAGGGACCCCUCAAAGCCCCACCCCCUUGGUUAGUGGUGAGAUUAUUACAUCAUUUUCUGUUUAGUGUCUCUUCUUGAUCUCUGACGAGAUGUUGCUAAACUACUGGUCCUUGAUCAGAUUUAUAGUUUAUGGUUAAGAUUAGGACUGACUCAAAUUGAGAACUGAUCCUAAAUCAGUUGGUAAGGUCAGGUAUUGGUGGACUCCUGUGUCUGACCUUAUCUGUGACUGGUCCCUCAGCUCCACGCGGGUCACAAGGCAGGGAUGGGGAUUGGAGUUACACUACUGAUCAUGCUGAUGGCUGGGGCUGGGUUCAUAAGCUACCACUUCUACACCCACAAGAACAAACCAUUCCAGUUCCACUACUUUAAUGUGUUUGUUGUUCAACAUUCUGACAUCAUUCAACUAUGACCCUUUGUCUCAUUGCAGGCUAUCAGCUGUUUACUGCUAUUCUGUUUGUUCAGAAGCUAAAUGUACAAUAAAACGUGGGGGACCUCAAACUUGAUAAUUGACCUUUGCCCUCUUUUGCAGGAUGAGGACGAGACGCAUCCAACCCCAGCAUAGUUAACCCCACUUAUGACUCCGCCCCUGCCAUAAGUGAACCAGUUCCAGCUGAGCUUCCUGUAAGUAACUCCACCCCAUUUUCUUUCUAUACCAACCACUGGAGAGAAAAUAUGUGCAUGAAUAUGAAUGCCAUUGAACUAUAUGUGGUGAAGUAGCACCUUUGCUCUAGGGGGUGAUACCAUAACUCCAGAUGACAUAUGAAUGUGUUUUAACAGGAGGACAAACACCAGGUCGGAGAGGGUAGCCCGUAUGACCUACCCCGGGACUGCUGAGAGAGACACGUCACAGUCCUCACUCUCCCUCUGAUAAAGCUGUGAGGAGUGCUGCUGCAUGUUGUACACGUGUUGACCAGUGGAGGGCAGCACUGUGGGACUAUCAAGAGCUCAAUUCAAUCCGUAUCGCGGAAGUUGAAAUGCUCUAUUGAAAUGUAAAGGUCAUUUCCGAUUGCGCCGACAUAUGAAGCAUUCACCGUGAAUGCAUUCUCUGUGGAUGCGGGAUCAUUGCCGUUAAAUUUAAAUAGAGCUAAACAGCUUGAAUCGAGCCCGAAGACUACCAUCUUUGGACUAUUCCCCUCUGAGUUGGACAGUGCCUUAGGAAGGACAAACAGGACUCAGUCUCCCACAAAACAACCUCAUUAUGGACUCAAUCUCAGUGCCUUGUGUAGUAAUGUUACCACUCUACCUGUGGCGCAAUCGUGAAAGAAAUCUUAUACCGAUCUUUAAAUGGGAUGCAUCUUUCGUAUGUGAAUUAACCAAAGAAAGUAUUUUAAGUGUCUGUCAAAAAGGGUUUACCCACAAUUUCAAAUCUUUAAUAGUAUGAAACGGCGAUAACCAGAUGCAACCGUCUUUGUUGACAAAACAUUUGAAGCAAAGCUUGAGAAAACCUUUCCAUUCAUCCAACCAACACACUCAACAAAAUGUUUAACCACAGCCAAAUACACAUAUCAACCAAACUCUCAAUGUCAAAUUAUGAAGCAAAGCAUAAGCGUGAAGGAGUCUGGCUCUGGUGUCAUGAUCUCACCCCAUAAGCAUGGGUUUGUAGGUUUGAACUCUGGGGCACGGUGGCCUACUGAGGACUCUGCAGGUCAGUGAGUCAAGGCCACUUGGAGUGGCUGCCUAAUAAAAUGUGGCAUUGGCUAAAGGGUGUGAUAACAUAAGCAGAAAGGGUAGAUUCUUGGGGUUCCCCCCGUGACUCACAGACAGCAAAUAGCAAUGGUUAUAGAGGAAUAACUACUGUAAUUAAGCACUUUGUUUAAAUGAGAAUAUAUUUAAAAAACGAAGUGCCCACUUUUUCCCCCCAGGAGUUUUCCCCCAUAACUGCUACUACUCUAUAGGUGACCCCAGCGAUUCACCCCCAUGACAUCUACCAACACAGCUCCACUCAGGAGCUGAUCCUACAACCCCAUACUUCAUUGGUGAGAUCCUUACCAGAGUCACUGCCUCUUCCACACUGAACACGUCUCUGUACAUUUGUCACGAAGAAAUGCAGAAACACCAAGAGCACAACCUGUUGGUCACUGGAACAAUCAGCCCGGGUGGAAUUACUAUAAAGGAAUGAAGCUCCAAGCCGCAGACUCCGUCACAUAACAUACAGACCUGUUAGUUUACCUGGUAAUGGACACAAGCACACCUGUCAACUAGAUAGAAAGUCAAGUUUCUGACAAGCACUGAAUGUUUGACUUUUUUUUCAUCUGUAGUUUAUUUGUCAAAUCGAAGUGUUCAGUUUCAACAUACAGCCAAGAAUAAAAACACGGACCAGUAAAAAGUAGCUUCCCAUUUUUACCGUGCAAUCUGUAAUGAUUCAAGCGAUACAGAUUGAAUAGCGCCCUAGGGCUUGGAAUUUAUCCUUAGAGCCCAGUAAUUUUGCAGUAGUGCUUUAACCUAAUACACUAAGCUUAAGCAAUGCUACGUCUCAAAUAUACACAGAUGUGGAAUGUAAAGAUUUCUUAGUAGCAGUUACGCAUUUAAGCUGUUAAAAAGAUUGCGACAAAGGGUUUUGAAGUUACAACAGCAAUCCACAGAUUUCUAAGGCAAAGGGUUUAGCAGGACAAAGCUUUCAGGAUACAGUAUUCUUGACAAUGUAGCAACACAGUUUCUCAUGGUCGGGAUAGAGGACCCAGGUACUGAUGUCAUUACAUGGAACCACUUGACAACUCCACAGUUAAAAAAAAAAGUCUGUCUGAUACAGUAAAACUGAUCUCGGCGGUUCAUGAAAAGGGUUCACCGAGGUACCGUAACGGCACCCAGCCUAGCAUGACCGUGGACCCUGAAUAUCAUAUUAAAGAUAUAGCACAAGAUUAAACAACUGCUGGACAACAACCGUUCAAAUGUAUCAAUGCAUUCCCAGAAUUCAGAUCAAGUGUUCCCUGAAGAACAUGGCAAAGCACAAAAAUAGCUCAUAUAAAAGCACCGCUGUACUGUAAUGUCAGGGACUCACCCGUUGGCAUGUCUGAAGACUCAUCCAUAGGCGGACCUGAGAAUACGGUGACGGAAGGAGGCACAGAGAAAAUAGACAUUUUUGCUUGUAUGUACAGUAUAUGCGUGUGUGCGUGUGUGAGACAGAUGAGAACUGACUGAAUACAAGGCCACAGUGGUGGUCUCCGAGUCACAGAGCUGGUCGGAUUGGCAGUUACUGUAGAAACACCUGAGAUUUACAUGUAGGUAACACCCCUUCUCUCCGCCCAAGGGGCAACAACA
rnacentral:lncRNA from 8 species